UAAUCCAUAAUAACUCUUCCUCCAGUGAAAAAGUGCAUCUCCUGUUGUCUCUCACAUCAAAAUCCAGCCACAUAUUUGUUUAGAUCUGUUUAAACGCUGCUGGAUCUGUGCAGAUUUCUCUCCUGAUUCAGACCAGAACACUUUUUCACUGGAGGAAGUGUUAUUAUGGAUUAUAGACUAUUUAAAAUCAUCUUAAUGCUGGAUGUGUUUCAGGUUUUGUCUUCUCCAGAUGUUCACUGAUGGACUGGAGUGCUGUGGAUUAUUGUGAUGUUUUUAUCAGACUCUCAUUCUGACGGCACCCAUUCACUGCAGAGCAUCCAUUGAUGAGACACUGAU